AUGUUACCGUGACCUAAACCUCUUCCCUAUCUCCCUCUCGCGUGGCGUCGGCCUCCGCUCGGGCGGAAGACAAAGAGAAGCUGGGACUUCUCUCCGGCGAUCGGCCUAGGGUGUUCUCCGAGGGGUUUCUCCACCAUCAUGUUUCUCUCGUCGAGGAGGAUCUGUGGGCGCAAGAAGAGGCCGAAAACUCGAGCUAACCGAAACCCUAGAAGUUCUUCUCGUUCGGUUGUGAGUUCAAGAAGCAAGAUAAAGGAAAGGAAAAGUUAUAGCAAAGGAAGGCGACAAGGAGGUGCGGAUGGAUGUGUGAUGCUUGGACUAUAGAAGCCUUGGGACUCAGUUUAAAAAUUUAUUAAGAUAGCAAUUUAUUCAUGUUGAUGAUUUUAUUAUCAGAGUGACUUUAUGUAUUUUAGAAUUCCUUCUUUUAAUUGCCAUGUACAAUAGUUCCAUUGUUUGAAGUUGAGUAUUAUUGCCUGCAUGAUCUGAUUAUUAGAUA